CGGGGGGGCGAAGCGUUGUUCGGAAUUACUGGGCGUAAAGGGCUCGUAGGUGGCCAACUAAGUCAGACGUGAAAUCCCCAGGCUCAACUUGGGAACUGCGUCUGAUACUGGAUGGCUUGAAUUCGGGAGAGGGAUGCAGAAUUCCAGGUGUAGCGGUGAAAUGCGUAGAUAUCUGGAGGAAUACCGGUGGCGAAGGCGGCAUCCUGGACCGAGAUUGACACUGAUGAGCGAAAGCCAGGGGAGCAAACGGGAUUAGAUACCCCGGUAGUCCUGGCCCUAAACGAUGAAUGCUUGGUGUGACGGGUAUCGAUCCCUGUCGUGCCGAAGCUAACGCAUUAAGCAUUCCGCCUGGGGAGUACGGUCGCAAGGCUG
rnacentral:rRNA from 1 species